AUUGAACGCUGGCGGCAGGCCUAACACAUGCAAGUCGAACGGUAACAGGAAGAAGCUUGCUUCUUUGCUGACGAGUGGCGGACGGGUGAGUAAUGUCUGGGAAACUGCCUGAUGGAGGGGGAUAACUACUGGAAACGGUAGCUAAUACCGCAUAACGUCGCAAGACCAAAAAGGGGGACCUUCGGGCCUCUUGCCAUCGGAUGUGCCCAGAUGGGAUUAGCUAGUAGGUGGGGUAACGGCUCACCUAGGCGACGAUCCCUAGCUGGUCUGAGAGGAUGACCUGCCACACUGGAACUGAGACACGGUCCAGACUCCUACGGGAGGCAGCAGUGGGGAAUAUUGCACAAUGGGCGCAAGCCUGAUGCAGCCAUGCCGCGUGUAUGAAGAAGGCCUUCGGGUUGUAAAGUACUUUCAGCGGGGAGGAAGGGAGUAAAGUUAAUACCUUUGCUCAUUGACGUUACCCGCAGAAGAAGCACCGGCUAACUCCGUG
rnacentral:rRNA from 1 species